UUAUUAACAGGAGAAUAGACAGGAGUAUUUUGGGGUAGCUAAGUACUUGGGAGGAUUAUAAGAAGCAUAGAAACAUUCACCUAUUUGCAUUUAGUAAAUUACAUGUAGUAGAAAUAGUAAUGCUUGGGAUGUUGGGAGGGGAAGAGAAGGAGGAAGAAAAAUAGAAAGAAAAGAAGAAGAAAGAAAAAAUGCACUCUUAGAAUUCUGUUUUCUUCUCUUCUAGUAGGUGGUGUUGUGCAUUACAGGUUGAGUCUCUGCCCUCAGGGUGUAGGAAGCAAUUCGUGUGGGGCGGCUCUCCUCCCCUGCCAGGUGCCUCUCCAAUCCAGGCCUCUUUGGGUUGCUCCUGGUCUCUAUCCCCCUCACUUCUCCUGCUCACCAGGCCCCAAUUACUGGGGACUCUUCUCCACAGCUCUGGGUUCACUCUGGGUGUGUGGUGCCCUGGCUGCUCCGUUCUUGUGGUCAAC
rnacentral:lncRNA from 1 species